AGGGUUCGAUUCUGGCUCAGAACGAACGCUGGCGGCAUGCCUAACACAUGCAAGUCGAACGCUAUUUAUAGAGUGGCGCACGGGUGAGUAACGCGUGGGAACCUGCCUUUUUCUGCGGGAUAACGGUUGGAAACGGCCGCUAAUACCGCAUACGCCCUACGGGGGAAAGGUCCGCCGGAGAAAGAGGGGCCCGCGUCUGAUUAGCUUGUUGGUAGGGUAAUGGCCUACCAAGGCUACGAUCAGUAGCUGGUCUGAGAGGAUGAUCAGCCACACUGGGACUGAGACACGGCCCAGACUCCUACGGGAGGCAGCAGUGGGGAAUAUUGGACAAUGGGGGCAACCCUGAUCCAGCAAUGCCGCGUGUGUGAUGAAGGCCUUAGGGUUGUAAAGCACUUUCACUGGUGAAGUUGAUGACGGUAACCAGUGAAGAAGCCCCGGCUAACUUCGUGCCAGCU
rnacentral:rRNA from 1 species